rnacentral:rRNA from 1 species
CAGCAGCCGCGGUAAUACGGGGGGGGCAAGUGUUAUUCGGAAUGACUGGGCGUAAAGGGCACGUAGGCGGUGAAAAGGGUGGAAAGUGAAAGUCGCCAAAACACUGGCGGGGUGCUUUCUUGACCAUUUCACUUGAGUGAGAUAGGGGAGAGUGGAAUUUCGUGUGGAGGGAUCAAAUCCUAAGAUAUACGAAGGAACGCCAACCGCGAAGGCAGCUCUCUGGGUCCCCACUGACGCUGGGGUGCGAAAGCAUGGGGAGCAAACAGGAUCAGAUACCCCGGUAGUCCCUGUCUCUUAUACC